rnacentral:misc_RNA from 1 species
CCAGCACUACCUUCUUCUGCAGGUUGGAAGACAAGCUUGACAGUACCCUUUAAUUCAUCCUUCCCGCGUUGAAGUAACUUUGCUGCUCCAAGCAGCAUUGUGACAUGAGCGUCAUGGCCACAAGCGUGCAUUUUGCCAUUGUUCUUGCUCUUGUACUCCCACUCCACCAAUUCCUGGAUGGGAAGGGCGUCCAUGUCUGCUCUAAGACCGAACCAUGGCUCCAUCCCUGACCCAAUCGAACCCACCACCCCAGUCUUCGCGAUAGGCCAAAUAUACUCAAUUCCAAGCGACUGAAGCUCCGAUCUUAUGAUUUCACUCGUGUUGUAUUCUUCAAAGGCCAGCUCUGGGUACUCAUGGAUUUUCCUCCUAACCCUUUUUAACCAAUCGAAGAACUCGGGCUCUCUCGCGGAAUCCAGCAGCUCCCGAGUUAGAGAACUCAGCUUAGAUUCCGAACGAGUCACCGGAGCCGAUAUUGGGUAACAUGUAGGUAGGAUGAUUAAGAAGGAAAGGCACUUGAAUGGAAUUAGAAAGCGAAAGAAAGGUUUUUUCAUUUUUUUGACUGCUUUUUC